CGGAAAUUAAAAAGUUAGAAAACUAAUAAAAACGUCUUUUUUUUUUUAAAGUGCCGUUUUUGCUGCAAAACAUUAGAUUCGUUGAGUUACGUUCUGCAUUGUAGAGUUCAUAGGCACGAACCCCAUUGCUCUUUCAAAUGUAUUUGUGCUGACUGCAAGCGGACAUUUUGUACUUGCGCAGCUUUUAAAGCGUAUUUCUAUCGGGUCACAAUGUGCCCGCAACACUAUUGUUACUGCUAGAGCAGCAGAAUGUGUUUAGUUUUCUCAUUGGACUAAAUUAUUGCGGGAGCCGCCAUCUUGGUGAAGUUCACGGCCUGCGGCUGAGUGCGCGCCCUCUUUACUAGAGUCUGGAAAGUCACGCCGAGUUGCACUGACAUGACUGACUUGGAGAAAACAUUUCUACGCACCGCUAUCGCUGAUCUCUUGCUUCACCUUCCAGAGGUCACAAAAGAUAUUCUAGAAGAGACCUUGCAAUCCCUAUGGGUGGAGACAUAUGAUGAUUUUCGGUUUAUUGAGGAAGCCAAUUUGCUGUCAGCCUUGAGGCCAGUUCAAGCCAGGAAAGUCCUUGUUGCUUGGAAGCUGAACUACGGUUUAUGCUGAGUAUUGAUUGAAACAUUAUAAACAACAGCCUUCGUUUCUGCCCUGUGCAUGAUGUCUGGGAGCGAUUAUUGCUUCAACAUUUGUUACCCAUUGGAGCUGGCAUCAACCCUGGCGUUUCUGCAGAGGUUCUUUUUCUCCAUCAACCCAGAGAAGGUCACUGAAGUGCAGAAAACAAACACACCCUGUCCCAAUAUUAACCCCAGAGUCCUUACCUUGAUUCAAGAACUUUUGAAUCUUGAGUGGCGUGGUCUGACUAUGGACAGGAAUAUUUAUGGCAUUUAUUGAUGUGCCUCACUCAUAGUUUGCAUUUUUGUUUUAGUUUAAUUAUCUGCUUAGCUGUCCAAGUUCAAGAAGCAAGGAAAAGUUUCAGACGAAAUGGUUACAAAGUUUGUAAGCAAUAUUACUGAGUUUUAUUGGUCUUGUAUUUCCUCAUUUCCAUGCCUGUACCUCAAUUUGAAGAGCUUGUAUGAAAAUAUUUGUACAUGUGUUCUAUUUAUUCCAGUAAGGAAAUGCAGUAAUCCUUAAAGGGUGUUAGAAAUUCUUAAAUUUUAUUCAUAGAAAAUAACCCCUUCAUUGUCCUUUAGACAUUUUUAUGAGGAAAGUCCUUCCCUCCAUUGUUGCCCUCAUUCUCUAUUUUUCGUUAUUUCACUCUCUCUGCAUCUUUCAGUUCCAAUAAGAUAACCAUUAUGUUUAACGUUUGCAAUAGGAAUAUGUAUGUUAAACAAAUGUCGGUUUUUUUUCCACUGCUUUGAGAUUAAUAUUCAGUUUUGUUUGGUACACUGUUUUCGUAAAAACAUUGUUUAAAAAAAAAAAAAAAGUGGCAGCUGUGGUUCCCAGAAUAAUUAUGUAAAAAUACAUUGAAAAUGUGAACAACUUUACAGAACAACCUGUAAAUUUUACACUUUAGAUAGAUAUACUUUAUUAAUCCCACGGGGAAAUUCACUUUAAAACUUUUUUUUUUUGUUUGUUUUAAACAAGAGUUUAAACUGGUAAAUCCAACGGUUCUUUUCUGCUGAACUAGCAUGAUCAAAAUAAAAUUAAAUGGGGUUCAAUGUAAAAUAAACUGCAUGUAAAUUUUACCUUAAUCUGUUUAAUAGCAGCAUGGUUAUACUAAUUCAGCAGAAAAGGACUGGUGCAUUUACCAGUGUAAACGUUUUUUUUUAUAUAUAUAUAUAUAUAUGAUUUAAAAUGUAAAAUUUACAGGUGGUUCUUCACCAUAUUUUUUACAGAAUUAUUCUGGCUACCACAGCUACCAAGUUUUUUUUUUCUCUUCAGUGUACUGCAUUGAAACUUAAACAUCUGUAUUCUGAUAAACAAUGCCAUUCUUUCACAUAUCCACUUAUUUUCCCUUUGUAUAUACCCUAGACGUUUAUCUACUUCCAAACAUUCCACGCUCAUGUAAACUAUACCUUAUUAAUAUGUAAAAUACAAAUGAGCUUAUCUGAACAUGCUGGCAAUUUCUGUUGUGUAGAACAUUUUGAUUACAGAAUGUCAUAUGAGCUCUAAAACAUUGUUAUAGUCUUGGUCACAUAGUUGGAGUCAUUAUCUAAAUCACUCUAAAAUAAACACUAAAAUAAAGUUGCGACUCGUAUUUAGCAUAAUAUAUAAGCACAAUUUUCUAACAACAUUAUUCCAGAGCUAUUAAGAGUACUGCUCAUCUCUCUCUCUCUCAGACACACAGUUCUCUAAUCUCACAUACGGACAACUGUCAGUCAGUCUAAAAUCCAGGAAAUCAGGGCAAUGUCAACUUGCGCCACACACAACUUUUCCCUCAGUAAGAGCAGCAGGAUCGUAUGAAAGGCACCAAAAAAAUGACACGACUUGACUCUCGCAGACUCCCAGGCCCUCUCCAGGCAAGACUAGGGCUCCAUGCAGCAGAUAAACUACACCAUCUUCCACUCACAUGCAAACUGUUGAGGGUCCAACCCUGUACCCACCUGUAUUUUAAAGUGACUAAGAACCAUCCUCUCUAUAAACAUUCAGUUCUUUAGGAUUAUUCAUCUUUUGCACCGGUAACUUCUGUAGUCUCUGUCUAUACAGAGUAUUGUAUAUGUGCUUCAAGAUCACAAACAGCUCAUCAGCGCACAGGCCUUUAAUAUUCUUGCACUGACUCCAUCAGGGCCCAUCCUUCUCUUCAUGUAGUCUGCAUAAUUCUGUUCUCACCUCAUCCUUUGUAAAAGUAAACUGUGAAUUUGGGGUGGAGAUGUGAGACAUCGGGUGAUGGUAGUUAUCUGAUAAUUGUAAAGGACA